CGAGAUAUCUGGUUGAUCCUGCCUGAACUGAUGUGUUCAUUUCAAAGAUUAAGCCAUGCAUGUAUAAGUUUAAUCGUUUUAACGAGAAACCGCGAACGGCUCAUUACAAUGGCCAUGAUUUACUUGAUCUUGAUUAUCUAAAUGGAUAACUGUGGAAAAGCUAGAGCUAAUACAUGCACCAAAGCUUUGUCCUCUCGGAAAAGCGCAUUUAUUAGAACAAAACCACGCGGCUUCGGCUGCUUCUUGUUGACUCAGAAUAACUAAGCUGACCGCAUGGCCUUGUGCCGGCGGCGUGUCUUUCAAGCGUCCACUUUAUCAACUUGACGGGAGCAUAAUCGACUCCCGUGGUGGUGACGGAUAACGGAGGAUCAGGGUUCGACUCCGGAGAAGGGGCCUGAGAAAUGGCCACUACGUCUAAGGAUGGCAGCAGGCGCGCAAAUUACCCACUCUCGGCUCGAGGAGGUAGUGACGAGAAAUAACGAGAUCGUUCUCUUUGAGGCCGGUCAUCGGAAUGGGUACAAUUUAAACCCUUUAACGAGUAUCAAGCAGAGGGCAAGUCUGGUGCCAGCAGCCGCGGUAAUUCCAGCUCUGCUAAUACAUAGAAUUAUUGCUGCGGUUAAAAAGCUCGUAGUUGGAUUCGUAUCGGUACCCUGGAACCCUCCGGGUGUUUCUGGGUGUUAUCGAUUUAUCGUAAUGUUCGGUUUUGAGUCCUUAACAGGAUUCUUAACAGGCAUUGCAAGUUUACUUUGAACAAAUCAGAGUGCUUCAAACAGGCGUUUUCGCUUGAAUGAUCGUGCAUGGAAUAAUAGAAAACGAUUUCGGUUCAGUUUUAUUGGUUUUACGGACUGAGAUAAUGGUUAACAGAGACAAACGGGGGCAUUUGUAUGGCCCCGUGAGAGGUGAAAUUCUUGGACCGUGGCCAGACAAACUACAGCGAAAGCAUUUGCCAAGAAUGUCUUCAUUAAUCAAGAACGAAAGUCAGAGGUUCGAAGGCGAUCAGAUACCGCCCUAGUUCUGACCGUAAACGAUGCCAACUAGCGAUCCGCCGAUGGAAAUUAUAUUGCCUUGGUGGGGAGCUUCCCGGAAACGAAAGUCUUCCGGUUCCGGGGGAAGUAUGGUUGCAAAGCUGAAACUUAAAGGAAUUGACGGAAGGGCACCACCAGGAGUGGAGCCUGCGGCUUAAUUUGACUCAACACGGGGAAACUCACCCGGCCCGGACACUGUGAGGAUUGACAGAUUGAUAGCUUUUUCAUGAUUCAGUGGAUGGUGGUGCAUGGCCGUUCUUAGUUCGUGGAGUGAUUUGUCUGGUUUAUUCCGAUAACGAGCGAGACUCUAACCUACUAAAUAGCUGGUACAUACUCUUAGUGUAUACAGCUUCUUAGAGGGAUUUGCGGUGUUCAGCCGAAAGAAAUUGAGCAAUAACAGGUCUGUGAUGCCCUUAGAUGUCCGGGGCUGCACGCGCGCUACACUGGCAAAAUCAACGUGCUUGUCCUACCCCGAAAGGGGCGGGUAAACCAUUGAAAAUUUGCCGUGAUUGGGAUCGGAAAUUGCAAUUAUUUUCCGUGAACGAGGAAUUCCAAGUAAGUGCGAGUCAUCAGCUCGCGUUGAUUACGUCCCUGCCCUUUGUACACACCGCCCGUCGCUGCCCGGGACUGAGCCAUUUCGAGAAAUUUGGGGACCGUUGAUUUAAUUUUUCUAAAUUACUUUGAUGGAAACCAAUUUAAUCGCAGUGGCUUGAACCGGGCAAAAGUCGUAACAAGGUAGCUGUAGGUGAACCUGCUGCUGGAUCAUUACUUUA
rnacentral:rRNA from 1 species